CUUGACCGAGCCCAGCAGCAACGGCUGCUCACGGUCCUGGCCGUAGGUGGCGAUGAUCGCCUGCGCCUC
rnacentral:antisense_RNA from 1 species